rnacentral:rRNA from 1 species
CUAAGGCCAUUCCACCCUGAAUGUGCCCGAUUUCAUCUGAUCUCAGAAGCUAAGCAGGGUCGGGCCUGGUUAGUACUUGGAUGAGAAUAGAAAAAUCAAUGAAACAUAAUAGA